UUAAAUAGAUUGAACGAAGAGUUUGAUCCUGGCUCAGGAUGAACGCUGACAGAAUGCUUAACACAUGCAAGUCUACUUGAUCCUUCGGGUGAUGGUGGCGGACGGGUGAGUAACGCGUAAAGAACUUGCCCUGCAGUCUGGGACAACAUUUGGAAACGAAUGCUAAUACCGGAUAUUAU
rnacentral:rRNA from 1 species